AUGACAAUUUGGUGUUAUAUUCUAUCCUAUUCUCUUCUACUCUACUCUACUCUAUAUUUCCCUCUCCUCUCCUCUCCUCUCCUCUCCUAUCCUAUUCUAUUCUAUUUCAUCCAUUCCCAUCCCAUCCCAUCCCAUUGUACUCAUCCUACACUGUUCUUAAACCCCAACAAUUUAUUCUCAAUAUAUCAGCCAGAGUGUUUCUAUCAAAACAAAAGUCAGAUUAUGUUCCUACUCUGUUCAAAAUCCUCCAGUUGGAGUUCUUGUUUUGGUUCAGUGGAUUAAGACCCUGGCAUAGGAUCCAGGAGGGUGCAGGGUCGAUCCUUGGCCUUGCUCAGUGGGUUAAGGAUCUGGUGUGGUAGCAAGCUGCAGUAUUGGUCACAGAUUUGGCUCAGAUCCCGAGUUGCUGUGGCAUAGACCAGCAUCUGCAGCUCUGAUUUGAGUGCCCCUAGCCCUGGGAACUUCCAUAUGCAGCAAGUGCAGCCCUAAAAAGAAAAAAAAAAUCUUUCAUUGUCUUUUUUUUUUUUUUUACUUUAUUUUAUUUUAUUUUAUUUUAUUUUUUAUUACUCAAAUGAAUUUAUCACAUCUG
rnacentral:lncRNA from 9 species